rnacentral:rRNA from 1 species
GGGUUGUGAGGUUAAGCGACUAAGCGUACACGGUGGAUGCCCUGGCAGUCAGAGGCGAUGAAGGACGUGCUAAUCUGCGAUAAGCGUCGGUGAGGUGAUAUGAACCGUUAUAACCGGCGAUUUCCGAAUGGGGAAACCCAGUGUGUUUCGACACACUAUCAUUAACUGAAUCCAUAGGUUAAUGAGGCGAACCGGGGGAACUGAAACAUCUAAGUACCCCGAGGAAAAGAAAUCAACCGAGAUUCCCCCAGUAGCGGCGAGCGAACGGGGAGGAGCCCAGAGCCUGAAUCAGUGUGUGUGUUAGUGGAAGCGUCUGGAAAGGCGCGCGAUACAGGGUGACAGCCCCGUACACAAAAAUGCACAUAUUGUGAGCUCGAUGAGUAGGGCGGGACACGUGGUAUCCUGUCUGAAUAUGGGGGGACCAUCCUCCAAGGCUAAAUACUCCUGACUGACCGAUAGUGAACCAGUACCGUGAGGGAAAGGCGAAAAGAACCCCGGCGAGGGGAGUGAAAAAGAACCUGAAACCGUGUACGUACAAGCAGUGGGAGCCUCUUAAUGGGGUGACUGCGUACCUUUUGUAUAAUGGGUCAGCGACUUAUAUUCUGUAGCAAGGUUAACCGAAUAGGGGAGCCGAAGGGAAACCGAGUCUUAACUGGGCGUUAAGUUGCAGGGUAUAGACCCGAAACCCGGUGAUCUAGCCAUGGGCAGGUUGAAGGUUGGGUAACACUAACUGGAGGACCGAACCGACUAAUGUUGAAAAAUUAGCGGAUGACUUGUGGCUGGGGGUGAAAGGCCAAUCAAACCGGGAGAUAGCUGGUUCUCCCCGAAAGCUAUUUAGGUAGCGCCUCGUGAAUUCAUCUCCGGGGGUAGAGCACUGUUUCGGCAAGGGGGUCAUCCCGACUUACCAACCCGAUGCAAACUGCGAAUACCGGAGAAUGUUAUCACGGGAGACACACGGCGGGUGCUAACGUCCGUCGUGAAGAGGGAAACAACCCAGACCGCCAGCUAAGGUCCCAAAGUCAUGGUUAAGUGGGAAACGAUGUGGGAAGGCCCAGACAGCCAGGAUGUUGGCUUAGAAGCAGCCAUCAUUUAAAGAAAGCGUAAUAGCUCACUGGUCGAGUCGGCCUGCGCGGAAGAUGUAACGGGGCUAAACCAUGCACCGAAGCUGCGGCAGCGACACUAUGUGUUGUUGGGUAGGGGAGCGUUCUGUAAGCCUGUGAAGGUGUACUGUGAGGUAUGCUGGAGGUAUCAGAAGUGCGAAUGCUGACAUAAGUAACGAUAAAGCGGGUGAAAAGCCCGCUCGCCGGAAGACCAAGGGUUCCUGUCCAACGUUAAUCGGGGCAGGGUGAGUCGACCCCUAAGGCGAGGCCGAAAGGCGUAGUCGAUGGGAAACAGGUUAAUAUUCCUGUACUUGGUGUUACUGCGAAGGGGGGACGGAGAAGGCUAUGUUGGCCGGGCGACGGUUGUCCCGGUUUAAGCGUGUAGGCUGGUUUUCCAGGCAAAUCCGGAAAAUCAAGGCUGAGGCGUGAUGACGAGGCACUACGGUGCUGAAGCGACAAAUGCCCUGCUUCCAGGAAAAGCCUCUAAGCAUCAGGUAACAUCAAAUCGUACCCCAAACCGACACAGGUGGUCAGGUAGAGAAUACCAAGGCGCUUGAGAGAACUCGGGUGAAGGAACUAGGCAAAAUGGUGCCGUAACUUCGGGAGAAGGCACGCUGAUAUGUAGGUGAAGCGACUUGCUCGUGGAGCUGAAAUCAGUCGAAGAUACCAGCUGGCUGCAACUGUUUAUUAAAAACACAGCACUGUGCAAACACGAAAGUGGACGUAUACGGUGUGACGCCUGCCCGGUGCCGGAAGGUUAAUUGAUGGGGUUAGCGGUAACGCGAAGCUCUUGAUCGAAGCCCCGGUAAACGGCGGCCGUAACUAUAACGGUCCUAAGGUAGCGAAAUUCCUUGUCGGGUAAGUUCCGACCUGCACGAAUGGCGUAAUGAUGGCCAGGCUGUCUCCACCCGAGACUCAGUGAAAUUGAACUCGCUGUGAAGAUGCAGUGUACCCGCGGCAAGACGGAAAGACCCCGUGAACCUUUACUAUAGCUUGACACUGAACAUUGAGCCUUGAUGUGUAGGAUAGGUGGGAGGCUUUGAAGUGUGGACGCCAGUCUGCAUGGAGCCGACCUUGAAAUACCACCCUUUAAUGUUUGAUGUUCUAACGUGGGCCCCUUACCGGGGUUGCGGACAGUGUCUGGUGGGUAGUUUGACUGGGGCGGUCUCCUCCUAAAGAGUAACGGAGGAGCACGAAGGUUGGCUAAUCCUGGUCGGACAUCAGGAGGUUAGUGCAAUGGCAUAAGCCAGCUUGACUGCGAGCGUGACGGCGCGAGCAGGUGCGAAAGCAGGUCAUAGUGAUCCGGUGGUUCUGAAUGGAAGGGCCAUCGCUCAACGGAUAAAAGGUACUCCGGGGAUAACAGGCUGAUACCGCCCAAGAGUUCAUAUCGACGGCGGUGUUUGGCACCUCGAUGUCGGCUCAUCACAUCCUGGGGCUGAAGUAGGUCCCAAGGGUAUGGCUGUUCGCCAUUUAAAGUGGUACGCGAGCUGGGUUUAGAACGUCGUGAGACAGUUCGGUCCCUAUCUGCCGUGGGCGCUGGAGAACUGAGGGGGCUGCUCCUAGUACGAGAGGACCGGAGUGGACGCAUCACUGGUGUUCGGGUUGUCAUGCCAAUGGCACUGCCCGGUAGCUAAAUGCGGAAGAGAUAAGUGCUGAAAGCAUCUAAGCACGAAACUUGCCCCGAGAUGAGUUCUCCCUGACUCCUUGAGAGUCCUGAAGGAACGUUGAAGACGACGACGUUGAUAGGCCGGGUGUGUAAGCGCAGCGAUGCGUUGAGCUAACCGGUACUAAUGAACCGUGAGGCUUAACCUUACAACGCCGAAG